rnacentral:rRNA from 1 species
GUCUACGGCCAUGCUACCCUGAAUGAGCCCGAUCCCGUCUGAUCUCGGAAGCUAAGCAGGGUCAGGCCUGGUUAGUACUUGGAUGGGAGACCACCUAGGAAGAGUAGGUGCUGUAGGCG